GACGUAGGGCGCGAGCGUUGUCCGGAUUUAUUGGGCGUAAAGAGCUCGUAGGCGGCUUGUUGCGUCAGCUGUGAAAACCCGCAGCUCAACUGUGGGCUUGCAGCUGAUACGGGCAGGCUUGAGUUCGGUAGGGGAGACUGGAAUUCCUGGUGUAGCGGUGAAAUGCGCAGAUAUCUGGAGGAAUACCGGUGGCGAAGGCGGCAUCCUGGACCGACAUUGACGCUGAACGGCGAAAGCUAGGGGAGCAAACGGG
rnacentral:rRNA from 1 species